rfam:Myotis lucifugus cont2.21616, whole genome shotgun sequence.
CUUGGGGUGGGGGGACCCUCAGCCCAGAUUGCAAGAGGGGACAGGCCAGGCCAAGGGACCCCACAGGUGCACA